rnacentral:rRNA from 1 species
CCUACGGGUGGCAGCAGUGAGGAAUAUUGGUCAAUGGGCGCAAGCCUGAACCAGCCAAGUAGCGUGAAGGAUGACGGCCCUACGGGUUGUAAACUGCUUUUAUACGGGAAUAACGCGCCUUACGUAUAGUGCUUUGCAUGUACCUUAUGAAUAAGGACCGGCUAAUUCCGUGCCAGCAGCCGCGGUAAUACGGAGGGUCCGGGCGUUAUCCGGAUUUAUUGGGUUUAAAGGGAGCGUAGGCGGGUUGUUAAGCUUGUUGUGAAAUUUUCGGGCUCAACCCGGGCAUUGCAGUGCAGACUGGCGUGCUUGAGUGCGGGGGAGGUAGGCGGAAUUCGUGGUGUAGCGGUGAAAUGCUUAGAUAUGACGAAGAACUCCGAUUGCGAAGGCAGCUUGCUGGAGUGGAACUGACGCUGAUGCUCGAAAGCGUGGGUAUCGAACAGGAUUAGAUACCCGGGUAGUC